rnacentral:tRNA from 1 species
GGUAAAAUGGCUAAGCUAGGCAUUGAACUGUAAAUUCAAAGACAGAGAAUAAUAUCUCUUUUUACCA